rnacentral:rRNA from 1 species
UACGUAGGGUGCAAGCGUUGUCCGGAAUUAUUGGGCGUAAAGAGCUCGUAGGCGGUUUGUCGCGUCUGCUGUGAAAACCCGAGGCUCAACCUCGGGCCUGCAGUGGGUACGGGCAGACUAGAGUGCGGUAGGGGGAGAUUGGAAUUCCUGGUGUAGCGGUGGAAUGCGCAGAUAUCAGGAGGAACACCGGUGGCGAAGGCGGGGUCUCUGGGGCCGUAACUGACGCUGAGGAGCGAAAAGCAUGGGGAGCGAACAG